rnacentral:rRNA from 1 species
UACGGAGGGUGCAAGCGUUAUCCGGAUUCACUGGGUUUAAAGGGUGCGUAGGCGGAUUGGUAAGUCCGUGGUGAAAUCCCCGAGCUUAACUCGGGAACUGCCGUGGAUACUAUCAAUCUUGAAUACUGUGGAGGUAAGCGGAAUAUGUCAUGUAGCGGUGAAAUGCUUAGAUAUGACAUAGAACACCGAUAGCGAAGGCAGCUUGCUACACAGUCAUUGACACUGAGGCACGAAAGCGUGGGGAGCAAACAGG